AUGGCAAAUGCGUCGUUAAUACGCUUUCUACCAUCGCUAAUGAGCAUCCGUAACCACACAAAAAAAGAUCGGUAUGACAGUCAGAUAGCAGUUUGCCCGUCUCACAUUCAAAAUACAGGGCAUGAUCUCCAUCCGCAUGAUUCGUACAUACUUUCAAGUAACAGCUAUCACCCUCUACAGGAAAGGCAGCUUUUUCUCCUCUAUCAUAGAGGGGAGCAAGGGACCCCAUUGAUUCGAACUACACCCGUCGAGAUGGAAGGAUCCAGAGUGUUUUGCUUGAUGCUGUGCUUCGUGAUGUUUGAUGCUGUGUUGGACCGAUAUCAAGGGUGUCCGUGGACUCCAAGGUUACCUUUAGCGUUGGUCAAAUACGAUUGGAACUACACCCGUCGAGAUGAAAGGAUCCAGAGUGUUUUGCUUGAUCCUGUGCUUCGUGAUGUUUGAUACUGUCUUGGUAACAUUGCUGCUAGCAAAUAUGGUUUGUUUUGUUGCAGCUAGCGAUUUUAAAGGGAGAUUUUGGUCCUCGUAUUGCCACCUUUGAAGCCAGCGUUAUGUAACCUCCUUAGAUCUGCCUCAAAUCCUUUUAUCUGGUUAUUUAAUAUCUUUGUUCCUUUGAUUUUCUCUAAAUCAGCUGGGGGUUUUGUUUGACUACGCCCAAUUAUUU